UGGGGAAUAUUGGACAAUGGGCGCAAGCCUGAUCCAGCAAUGCCGCGUGUGUGAAGAAGGCCUUCGGGUUGUAAAGCACUUUUAUCAGGAGCGAAACGCUGUCGGCUAAUACCCGGCGGAACUGACGGUACCUGAGGAAUAAGCACCGGCUAACUUCGUGCCAGCAGCCGCGGUAAUACGAAGGGUGCAAGCGUUAAUCGGAAUUACUGGGCGUAAAGCGUGCGUAGGCGGUUUCUUAAGUCUGCUGUGAAAUCCCCGGGCUCAACCUGGGAAUGGCAGUGGAUACUGGGAGGCUAGAGUGUGUCAGAGGGUGGUGGAAUUCCCGGUGUAGCGGUGAAAUGCGUAGAGAUCGGGAGGAACAUCAGUGGCGAAGGCGGCCACCUGGGACAACACUGACGCUGAGGCACGAAAGCGUGGGGAGCAAACAGGAUUAGAUACCCUGGUAGUCCACGCCCUAAACGAUGCGAACUGGAUGUUGGUCUCAACUCGGAGAUCAGUGUCGAAGCUAACGCGUUAAGUUCGCCGCCUGGGGAGUACGGUCGCAAGACUGGAAACUUAAAUGAAUUGACGGGGUCAUAGCUGUUUCC
rnacentral:rRNA from 1 species